UUUCUAUAACUCUUCCUUCAAAUUUUUAUUUUCUAACCAGGAAUUGUAUUUUUUUUUCAGAUCUCUGCUGAUGGAAUAAUUGAUGAAUAAAUCAGGAAGAAUAUUUGAAUAUUAUUACUGUGAGCAGAUGAAAUCAUAAGAUAGAAAAUUUUUAAGAAGACACAACACAGAGGAAAGCAAUCGUCGAGGCUCUGAUGCACCUCUAAUCGAAAAGUUUUAUCUUCAUUUUUAUAUCAGAUACAUAGAAGAAUAUCGAUGGAUUUAUAUUUAAGAGCUGCAGUUAAAGCUUUUCAAAGUGUAAUUAGUACCUGAUAUAAUGAACAACAUUGCAAAAUUAGCAACACUGUAUCCUUGUAUCCCCUGUAAUUGAAGAGCAAUCAAUCUUCUAAUUGAAAGGAAAUCAGAGAACAAAAUUGUAGAAAUCUUUUUCAUGGUGAAGAGUAGUCACAGUCUUCUAAUUGAAAGAAAAUCAAAGAGAUCUUAUUUCCUCUAGUGGCAAUCAUUUAUGAAAAUGUUAUAUUCAAAGGGAUUCUUGAGAUUACAAAGGAGAACAGCAAUGCGACGUAGCAUUUUGAGAAUGCAGUUUUCACGAGAACGUCGAACAUGUUUCGAUGGGAUACACUUUAAUGCAUCGUUUGCAUAAUCGCAACGGAUUCGCAAGACGGGAAGAGUGUUUCUUUUCACUACACCGUGGCUUUGUCGUUCGAAUCGACCCAUUCUCAUAUAAUGAAAAACUUCGUCGUGGAAAAUGAAAUUUGUGGCAUACUAAAUUGAUUAUUAUAAAUUGAUUAUUAUAAAAAUUGACUAUUAUAUACAUUUUAUCAUAUAAUUAUUAUACUAUGUGUAAAACUUUAAAAUUUGCAUGAAUAAAUAUGUUAAUAAUCAACGUUUUUAAUUAAAAAUUAGAAACUUAUAUCAGGAGAGCAUGUAAUAUAUUGGUAGUAUGCUGUUCUAAUUUUGAAAUACAAUUAUUUAAAUAAUCCUACAAAAACGAUUUGGUCAAAUAAUGUUCGUAAAACAAUAAAAAUCACAUAAUUAGUAGUUAGAAACUUUUAUU